ACUCAGGACCUGAGGGACACCAUGUGAUGCAUGUUUUAUUAGAAUUGUUUCUAAACAGCCAAUAGAACUGCAUGAGGCUCUCUGCUGCCCCCACUAGCUCUGGAGCCGACCGAUGCCCAACAUAAGUUCAUAUUCUCUGGAAAUUGUUGGAGGUUGAGCUUCGUGUAAGAUUUUGGAGACAGACAGUGCCAAAAUAAAACCAUCAAGAGAUUAGCAGUGCCCUUCAGAUGGACAAACACAGGAACAUGAAGACAGAUCUAUUUCUCCAUUUUCAACUUGUAUAUUGCUAGUAGAACCAGAGCAACCCAAGACAUCCCGUCUCGUCUUUAUUUGGAGAGAUGGGUUAGCAGUUGUCUGCACUAUAAAAAGCAAUGUUAAUAUCCCCUCAG